rnacentral:rRNA from 1 species
CGCGUAGGCGGUUUUUUAAGUCAGAUGUGAAAGCCCGGGGCUUAACCCCGGAAGUGCAUUUGAAACUGGAGGACUUGAGUAUGGGAGAGGGAAGUGGAAUUCCUGGUGUAGAGGUGAAAUUCGUAGAUAUCAGGAGGAACACCGGUGGCGAAGGCGACUUCCUGGACCAAUACUGACGCUGAGGCGCGAAGGCGUGGGGAGCAAACAGGAUUAGAUACCCUGGUAGUCC